rnacentral:rRNA from 1 species
GUAACCUGCCCCGAAGACUGGGAUAACCCGGGGAAACUCGGGCUAAUACCGGAUGUGGAUGUCUCGGCUUCGGCUGAGGCAUCUAAAGGCGCAAGCCGCUUCGGGAGGGGCUCGCGGCCUAUCAGGUAGUUGGUGAGGUAACGGCUCACCAAGCCUGCGACGGGUAGCCGGUCUGAGAGGACGGCCGGCCCGAGGGGCACUGAGACACGGGCCCCACUCCUACGGGAGGCAGCAGUCGGGAAUCUUGGGCAAUGGGCGAAAGCCUGACCCAGCGACGCCGCGUGGAGGACGAAGCCCUUCGGGGUGUAAACUCCUUUGAGCAGGGAUGAACGCAGACAGUACCUGCAGAACAAGCCCCGGCUAACUACGUGCCAGCAGCCGCGGUAAUACGUAGGGGGCGAGCGUUGCCCGGAUUUACUGGGCGUAAAGCGCACGUAGGCGGCUCCGUAAGUCUGGUGUGAAAUCUCCCAGCUCAACUGGGAGGCUGCACUGGAUACUACGGGGCUCGAGGGCGGGAGAGGAGAUUGGAAUUCCCGGUGUAGCGGUGAAAUGCAUUGAUAUCGGGAGGAACACCAGUGGCGAAGGCGGAUCUCUGGCCCGCUUCUGACGCUGAGGUGCGAAAGCUGGGGGAGCG